AGAGUUUGAUCCUGGCUCAGGACAAACGCUGGCGGCGUGCAUAACACAUGCAAGUCGAACGGACCGGGAGACCGGUCAGUGGCGGACGGGUGAGGAACACGUGGGUAACCUGCCCAGAAGUGGGGGAUACCCGAAGGAAACUUCGGCUAAUACCGCAUGGGCUCAGAGAUGAGCAAAGCUCGUAAGAGCGCUUUUGGAGG
rnacentral:rRNA from 1 species